rnacentral:rRNA from 1 species
CGCUAGCGGCAGGCCUAAUACAUGCAAGUCGGACGGGAUUUGGGAGCUUGCUCCCGAUGAGAGUGGCGCACGGGUGCGUAACACGUAUGUAACCUACCUUAAUCAGGGGGAUAGCCUCUCGAAAGAGAGAUUAAGACCGCAUAACAUUAUGAAGUAGCAUUACUUUAUAAUCAAAUAUUUAUAGGAUUAAGAUGGGCAUGCGGAACAUUAGCUAGUUGGUAAGGUAACGGCUUACCAAGGCUACGAUGUUUAGGGGAUCUGAGAGGAUGACCCCCCACACUGGUACUGAGACACGGACCAGACUCCUACGGGAGGCAGCAGUAAGGAAUAUUGGUCAAUGGGCGGAAGCCUGAACCAGCCAUGCCGCGUGCAGGAAGACGGCCCUACGGGUUGUAAACUGCUUUUGUACCGGAAUAAACCUUGAUAUGUAUAUCAAGCUGAAUGUACGGUAAGAAUAAGGAUCGGCUAACUCCGUGCCAGCAGCCGCGGUAAUACGGAGGAUCCAAGCGUUAUCCGGAUUUAUUGGGUUUAAAGGGUGCGUAGGUGGCUUAUUAAGUCAGGGGUGAAAGACGGUAGCUUAACUAUCGCAGUGCCUUUGAUACUGAUGAGCUUGAAUCCACUAGAGGUAGGCGGAAUGUGACAAGUAGCGGUGAAAUGCAUAGAUAUGUCACAGAACACCAAUUGCGAAGGCAGCUUACUAUGGUGGUAUUGACACUGAGGCACGAAAGCGUGGGGAUCAAACAGGAUUAGAUACCCUGGUAGUCCACGCCCUAAACGAUGAAUACUCGAUGUUGGCGAUAUACGGUCAGCGUCUAAGCGAAAGCGUUAAGUAUUCCACCUGGGGAGUACGCCCGCAAGGGUGAA